UAGCCAUGGUGUAGGCAAGCAAGAAACAAGUCCUUGAACCGUUCACAACACUCAGAAAAAGUUUCAUCUCUUUUUUGGGAGAAGUUCAUUAUGUCUCGUCUGAGAGU